AUUGAACGCUGGCGGCAUGCCUUACACAUGCAAGUCGAACGGUAACGGGCCUUCGGGUGCCGACGAGUGGCGAACGGGUGAGUAAUGUAUCGGAACGUACCUUUCAGUGGGGGAUAACGUAGCGAAAGUUACGCUAAUACCGCAUAUUCUGUGAGCAGGAAAGCAGGGGAUCGCAAGACCUUGCGCUGAUUGAGCGGCCGAUAUCAGAUUAGCUAGUUGGUGAGGUAAAGGCUCACCAAGGCGACGAUCUGUAGCGGGUCUGAGAGGAUGAUCCGCCACACUGGAACUGAGACACGGUCCAGACUCCUACGGGAGGCAGCAGUGGGGAAUUUUGGGACAAUGGGGGGCAACCCUGAUCCAGCCAUGCCGCGUGAGUGAAGAAGGCCU
rnacentral:rRNA from 1 species